UACGUAGGGGGCAAGCGUUGUCCGGAAUUAUUGGGCGUAAAGAGCGCGUAGGCGGUCCGGUAAGUCGGUUGUGAAAGUCGGGGGCUCAACCCUGGGAUGCCGGUGGAUACUGUCGGGCUCGAGUCCGGAAGAGGAGUGUGGAAUUCCUGGUGUAGCGGUGAAAUGCGCAGAUAUCAGGAGGAACACCAAUGGCGAAGGCAGCACUCUGGGACGUGACUGACGCUGAGACGCGAAAGCGUGGGGAGCAAACAGG
rnacentral:rRNA from 1 species